UACGUAGGGUGCGAGCGUUAAUCGGAAUUACUGGGCGUAAAGCGUGCGUAGGCGGUUCUCCAAGUCCGUUGUGAAAGCCCCGGGCUCAACCUGGGAAUGGCAGUGGAAACUAGGGGACUGGAAUCUGGCAGAGGGGGGGUGGAAUGCCGCGUGUAGCAGUGAAAUGCGCAGAUAUCAGGAGGAACACCGGUGGCGAAGGCGGGUCUCCUGGGCCGAAACUGACGCUGAGGCAACGAAAGCGUGGGGAGCAAACAGG
rnacentral:rRNA from 1 species